rnacentral:rRNA from 1 species
UACAGAGGUGGCAAGCGUUGUUCGGAUUCAUUGGGCGUAAAGGGCGCGUAGGCGGCCUUCUAAGUCAGACGUGAAAUCCCCCGGCUUAACCUGGGAACUGCGUCUGAUACUGGGAGGCUUGAGUAUGGGAGAGGGAUGUAGAAUUCCAGGUGUAGCGGUGAAAUGCGUAGAUAUCUGGAGGAAUACCGGUGGCGAAGGCGGCAUCCUGGACCAUUACUGACGCUGAGGCGCGAAAGCUAGGGGAGCAAACGGG